UAUUCCGAAGCAUGGCGGGAAUGAAGAAUGUAAACAAUGUAUCUAGUCAGUUAUUCCUAACUUUACGAUGUGUUACAUUUUAGAUAUAGGCCUAGUUUUAGUUAUUACAGAAACUUACAAUUUGAUACUAUUGUGGACGCAAUAUUAAAGAAUACUCAACAGGCAGCAGCAUUAAGCAUUACGCGGGAAAAAUUCAUUUGUGGAUAAAAAUUAAUCUUUUGUUGCCGUCGCCGCCGACGUCUGGGUGAAGAUUAAGAGGAAGAGUUUAGUUCUAGGGUCAAGGUCGACAAAUAAAGGAUUUGUUAGGACUCUCCAUUCAUAUUCAUUCUGGAAAGGAGUUACGAAACGAACGAGUAUUCAUUCUCUGCCAGGGAAACAAAAUGUUUCACAGUCCCUUUAUCAGUUUCCAUUGAGGCAUUCUCUGGUGAUGUGGCAGGUCUGCAGCAGUACCGCCCUCUGACAGGCAAUGAAAAUGUUUCUAGGAAUGUGAAGGGCCUUGAAGGUAUCUGUGAGCAUUUUAGGCUCUACAACGACUUUGUCUGCAUCAGGUGUGGGAAUAUAUGCAGGUCGCAACUGAGUUUGUAUGUCCACCUGAAACACUGCGCUCAUCCUUAAUCUAAUCGAAGACAUCACCUACAAGGGGAAACAAACACACAAACAAUCGUUGUUCUAAGUAAACAAAAAGCUGCGAAUCCAAGAAAUUCUCGGAAGAAGCCUUCACUUUAUUAUUUGUGGAAAACAAAGUGAAUUAGAGUGCAUCCAAACUUGACGUUAUUAGACACUUGAUGGCCAGAGAUUUAAAUAGAUUCCGUGCAAGGGAGAGAAUCAAGAGAAAACAAAAAUAGAUAUUGGGGGACUAGGAGUGGCCAAAGCGUCAUGUCAGGUCUUCACGAAA